AUUGAACGCUGGCGGCAGGCCUAACACAUGCAAGUCGAGCGGAUGAAGGGAGCUUGCUCCUGGAUUCAGCGGCGGACGGGUGAGUAAUGCCUAGGAAUCUGCCUGGUAGUGGGGGAUAACGUCCGGAAACGGGCGCUAAUACCGCAUACGUCCUGAGGGAGAAAGUGGGGGAUCUUCGGACCUCACGCUAUCAGAUGAGCCUAGGUCGGAUUAGCUAGUUGGUGGGGUAAAGGCCUACCAAGGCGACGAUCCGUAACUGGUCUGAGAGGAUGAUCAGUCACACUGGAACUGAGACACGGUCCAGACUCCUACGGGAGGCAGAAGGGGGGAAUAUUGGACAAUGGGCGAAAGCCUGAUCCAGCCAUGCCGCGUGUGUGAAGAAGGUCUUCGGAUUGUAAAGCACUUUAAGUUGGGAGGAAGGGCAGUAAGUUAAUACCUUGCUGUUUUGACGUUACCAACAGAAUAAGCACCGGCUAACUUCGUG
rnacentral:rRNA from 1 species